CCUACGGGCGGCAGCAGUGGGGAAUAUUGGACAAUGGGGGCAACCCUGAUCCAGCCAUGCCGCGUGUGUGAAGAAGGCCCUCGGGUUGUAAAGCACUUUCAGUGAGGAAGAACGCCUGGUGGUUAAUACCCAUCAGGAAAGACAUCACUCACAGAAGAAGCACCGGCUAACUCCGUGCCAGCAGCCGCGGUAAUACGGAGGGUGCGAGCGUUAAUCGGAAUUACUGGGCGUAAAGCGCGCGUAGGUGGCUUGAUAAGCCGGUUGUGAAAGCCCCGGGCUCAACCUGGGAACGGCAUCCGGAACUGUCAAGCUAGAGUGCAGGAGAGGAAGGUAGAAUUCCCGGUGUAGCGGUGAAAUGCGUAGAGAUCGGGAGGAAUACCAGUGGCGAAGGCGGCCUUCUGGACUGACACUGACACUGAGGUGCGAAAGCGUGUGUAGCAAACAGGAUUAGAUACCCGGGUAGUC
rnacentral:rRNA from 1 species